rnacentral:rRNA from 1 species
GAUGAACGCUGGCGGCGUGCCUAAUACAUGCAAGUCGAGCGAAUGGAUUAAGAGCUUGCUCUUAUGAAGUUAGCGGCGGACGGGUGAGUAACACGUGGGUAACCUGCCCAUAAGACUGGGAUAACUCCGGGACACCGGGGCUAAUACCGGAUAACAUUUUGAACCGCAUGGUUCGAAAUUGAAAGGCGGCUUCGGCUGUCACUUAUGGAUGGACCCGCGUCGCAUGAGCCAGUUGGUGAGGUAACGGCUCACCAAGGCAACGAUGCGUAGCCGACCUGAGAGGGUGAUCGGCCACACUGGGACUGAGACACGGCCCAGACUCCUACGGGAGGCAGCAGUAGGGAAUCUUCCGCAAUGGACGAAAGUCUGACGGAGCAACGCCGCGUGAGUGAUGAAGGCUUUCGGGUCGUAAAACUCUGUUGUUAGGGAAGAACAAGUGCUAGUUGAAUAAGCUGGCACCUUGACGGUACCUAACCAGAAAGCCACGGCUAACUACGUGCCAGCCGCCGCGGUAA